UACAAGAUGAUGGUGAUGGGAUCCCUGGA
rnacentral:piRNA from 1 species